UGCCCUCGUAGCUUAAUGGAUAGAGCAACUGCUUGCGGAGCAGUAGGUUGUGCGUUCGAAUCGCACCGAGGGUAU
rnacentral:tRNA from 1 species